CCAGUCUCCAGUACAGGCGCCGACCUCUCCGCCACCAGCACAAGUGAACAAGGGAAGAUCACGUCUCUGAAGGUGGCGGUAUCACCGUCUACAGGUCGAGUCACGAGAUCUACAGAGCAAAUACUCGACGUCAGAACGGAUUGUUUCAUUGUGAAACGUAUAGGCGAGAGAGAAAACAAGGUUACGGAAUGAAAAUGGAGCAUACGCUUUGGGGACAUCUACCAUUACUGGUGAGAUCGAACUCCAAGGACUCGGUCGAGUAUAUACUCCAGGCGCUAUGGAGAACGCGAAAGACAGGUCUCGACGCCGCCGACCGCCACAUCAUCAGCGACAUGCUUCAACUCCAGAACGACUCCGACCUCGACCCGCUUUUGGUGUGCCUGCGUAUGUUGAUUCGCAGAUGUGUUUAUGAUAAUAUUAGCAAGGAUGAGAUUCGGAAGUUGUUUCCGGCCGAGGUUCUACCUGAAUUGCAAAGACUAUUGACACUUUUGCUUCAAAAGUUUCAGAGAGAAUGGCGUGAGGAUGUAAUGAAGGAUAAGAAUUGUAAUCAGGCUACAUUGCCCCGAUUGAAGGCAAUGACAUGGAACAUGGCUAAUCAGGAAGCAGCAGAAGCUAUUGACCCUGUUGCUGUCAUCAAUUUGAAGCUUCAAGAUGAUGUUCAGUCUCAAGUGGGAGAACUGGAUGUGAAGUUCCAGUUGGGGAAGGAUACUAUGGAUGCAAUGCUGAGUUCCAUGUAUUGCAUAAGAGACCAGUUGUCAAACACAACUGAGUGAGAUGGAUGUUUACUAAAGUUGUGUCUUUGAGCUACUGAGGAAGAUAUUGUCUACUUGAACUUUUAAAGCGAUUUGCAAUCAGUUGAUACCCGCCCUACGUGCGGCAUGCAUGAAUUUGGAAAAUAUGUAAACAAUCAUUUUCAUUAGGAAGACUUCUCUCGACUUGAACCUCCAAUCGAAUUUGGAGAAUAUGCAAACAUCUAGUUUGGACCAAAGUCUGAAGUUUUGGCUAUCCAUAUAUUCUUAUGCGAGUGUGAUUACUAUUCAAUCCACAAUAUUCCGUAGUUUCGAGUUCAAAAAAGAAGAAGAAGAAAUGUCUUAUUGACACCUGCCGCUUUCAAGUGCAAUACAUACAUGGAGGAGCUUGCACAAUUGCGAGAUAUUGAUUU